UACGUAGGUGGCAAGCGUUGUCCGGAUUUACUGGGCGUAAAGAGCGCGCAGGCGGUCGGAUAAGUCGAAUGUGAAAGCCCCCGGCUUAACUGGGGAGGGUCAUUCGAUACUGUUCGACUGGAAGGCAGGAGAGGGAAGCGGAAUUCCCGGUGUAGUGGUGAAAUGCGUAGAUAUCGGGAGGAACACCAGUGGCGAAGGCGGCUUCCUGGCCUGUUCUUGACGCUGAGGCGCGACAGCGUGGGGAGCAAACAGG
rnacentral:rRNA from 1 species